GUAAGGCGGGGCAGUGUGUCCAAGGGCACCGGGUCUCCCGAGGGCACCAGCCGGACCACUUCACGUCCAGUCCGGUGCCCGCCGCCGCCCUCGCCCCGCCGCCGGCCUGGCCUCCCAGCUGCCCGAACCCCAGCUGGGCCCCCAGCGGUGCGGGCGCCCCGGCCCAGCGGUGCGCGCCCUGCAGAGGGACCCCUGCCGGGCACCCAGCUAGGGUCUUGGACCCCGUGGCCUGGAGCCGGGUUCCGGACGCUGCUCCCGCGGUUCCGGCCGAUCCACACCCACCCCUCCCUUGGAUUUUCACGACUGUGUUUCGGGGUAGACAGGACGCUACUACUUCUUAUCCUCACGCUACAAAGGAGGGAACGGGUUCCCGGGCGUCGGGGAGCUGAUCAGGCCCGCCGAGUCCGCCCGCCCCCGAGCGGAGCAUUGCGCAGCCCUCAGGCCAGGACACGUUUAUUCAUGGCAGUGGCGUGGGUUGUGCGACUCAGCUGUGUCCACACGGGGUCUGUGACCGUCGCCCUGUCGGCGAGCGCACGGAAGUCUCCUCCUGGUGAGGCUACUAGAAAAUGUAACACUUCUUUCCUGGCUGGAAUGCUAUUUCUAGUGAACGGAGGUGCAGGUGUUGCCGGAAACUUCUGGGUCGGGAUUCUGCACUGGAAAUAUCCCAGAAUGAAUCUUUCUCCCCAUGCUGCAAAAUGACCCAAGAAAAAAUUUUUUUAAAAGUUCAGCAACAAUGAAUGAGCAAGGUGCAAACCCACAUGACAUAAGGUAGAGGGAAGAGACAAGAUUCUGGUGGGGUUCAGCGGAACCCUGGUAGAUGCCAGGUAAUGACAGGGACUCAACAAAAUCCUGAGGGUCCCUAGAAUAACCCCCUCCCACCUGGGCUGCUGGACAAAGACCAGGCCACUGGACUGGCUGUUACACCCCCUCCUCCCAGAGUUCACCCCAAGUCCACCUGACUGGCUUCCAUUGCUUUGUGUUGGCUUCAUCUGGACCCAGCUGGUCAGUAUGGAACCACCUGGACUGAACUGGCUGGGACUGGUCUGGACCAGUGAUUUGGUUUCAGUCCACCUGGUACCUUACCUUCACUAGGCACUUGAGCACAGCUGCGAAUACUUGGAAAGUGCCUGGUCCAGCCCCUCAGGAGGAAGCCAAGGCAGGGAAGGAUGCUUCAGGUGACCUUGUCCCAGUGAACUGACUGCUGUAGGGGACUUGCCCCGGAGCCUGGUAGGUGGCAGGUUACACAGAGGAGGGGAGAGGCAGCCCCAAGGGCAAAGCCUGUCCUUCAAGAAGAGCACCUCACCUUACUGCGUUCCAAAGACAAGGGUGCGAAGUUCGCUCAGGAAGUUCACGGAAACGUGUGUGCUGUGCCACUCCGUGUGUGCAUGCACACGUGUGCACGAGGCACAGGAAAGUCUUGCUGGUGGUUCUGUCCACACAGGGGCAUCGUGAUUUGGUUUUCUUAUCUUGACACCUGUAUUUUGCACAAUGAACUCAAUACUUUUAGAUACAUUAAAGGUUUGAAAAUG